rnacentral:misc_RNA from 1 species
UUUACACAGAAGACAUUUCUACUAGACCUAGGAUUGAUUUCGAAUUUUUACCUAUCGUGAUGUUUUAUUUCAACGUUUAUUCAUAGAUAUUACUCAACAAGGAACGAUGGUGUCGGCCAUUUUAUCAAGAAUUGUCAUAUUGGUGUGUGGGACACUGUAUCCAGCAUACGCUUCCUACAAGGCAAUCCGCACAAAAAACGUAAAGGAAUAUGUAAAAUGGAUGAUGUACUGGAUUGUAUUUGCCAUUUUCUUGUCUGUGGAAACGUUUUCUGACGUUCUUUUAUCAUGGCUGCCAUUUUAUUACGAGAUAAAGAUGAUAUUUGUGAUAUGGAUGUUGUCUCCAAUUACCAAAGGAUCCAGCUAUCUUUACAAGAAGUUUGUGCAUCCACACUUAGUGAAGAGAGAAAAGGAAAUAGAUGAAUACAUAUCCCAGGCAACAAAGCAGGGUUAUUCUACCUUACUGAACCUGGGUCAACGAGGCAUUUCCUACGCUACCAAUGUGGUGGUGAAAACUGCUAUAAAGGGUCAGUCUAGCCUUGUAGAUCAUGUACGUAAGAGUUAUAGCACCAAUGACCUGAGGGUCCCAGACGACUCUCAGAACAACGCCGGGGGAGCGUUAAUGGACAGCGAAGACGAAUUUGAAAUACAGGCUGAGAACAUUAAUGAUGAGCGACUUUCUGAAGACAACAGAGAGAUAGAGAGAAGGAAAGACAAGAGAAAAUUACACAGAAGCUCUAGUGAUGUCACAGAUAGCCGGUCUGUAAGGCCACAAAAAACUCCAGGUCUUUCCAAAUUGGAGGAAGAGGACGAAGACCAAUCCUCAUAUUCAGAAGAAGUGUAUUACACACAAAGCUACUAUAGCCCAAAGGAUGGUUCUCCUAAGGACAGGAAGAGAAAAAAACAGUCAGAUCAGAAUUUGCUGAAGACACAGAGAAGAUUAUCUGAAUGACCUUUGUAUAGUCACCAUAUGUAAAUCUGAACAUAGCACUGAUGUUUAUAAAAAAUCAACCAGCUUUAUAAGUGUGUUACUAUACACUGACAUGCUUUAUAAGUGUGUCACUAUACACUGACAUGCUUUAUAAGUGUGUCACUAUAUGCUGACAAGCUAUAUAAGUGUGUCACUAUACACUGACAUGCUUUAUAAGUGUGUCACUAUACACUGACACGCUUUAUAAGUGUGUCACUAUACACUGACAAGCUUUAUAAGUGUGUCACUAUACAGUGACAUGCUUUAUAAGUGUGUCACUAUACACUGACAAGCUUUAUAAGAGUGUCACUAUACACUCACAAGCUAUAUAAGUGUGUCACUAUACACUGACAUGCUAUAUAAGUGUGUCACUAUACACUGACAAGCUUUAUAAGCGUGUCACUAUACACUGACAUGCUUUAUAAGUGUCUCACUAUACACUGACAAGCUUUAUAAGUGUGUCACUAUACAGUGACAUGCUUUAUAAGUGUGUCACUAUACACUGACACGCUUUAUAAGUGUGUCACUAUACACUGACAAGCUUUAUAAGCGUGUCACUAUACACUGACAUGCUUUAUAAGUGUUUCACUAUACACUGACAAGCUAUAUAAGUGUGUCACUAUACACUGACAUGCUAUAUAAGUGUGUCACUAUACACUGACAUGCUAUAUAACUGUGUCACUAUACACUGACAUGCUUUAUAAGUGUCUCACUAUACACUGACAAGCUUUAUAAGUGUGUCACUAUACACUGACAAGCUUUAUAAGCGUGUCACUAUACACUGACAUGCUUUAUAAGUGUCUCACUAUACACUGACAAGCUUUAUAAGUGUGUCACUAUACACUGACAAACUAUAUAAGUGUGUCACUAUACACUGACAAGCUGUAUAAGUGUGUCACUAUUCACUGACAAGCUAUAUAAGUGUGUCACUAUACACUGACAAGCUAUUUAUGAUUGUCAAUAUAUACUGACAAGUUAUAUAAAUGAUGUCACUUUAUACAGAGCUGUGUUCUAUUUUGUGCUAUUAUUAUGUUGCUUAAAAGGAUAUGAAUGGUGUACACAGAAUGCAAUCGAUUAACUAAGUAAUGUGAACAAACUUUCCUUUCUUUAAGUUGGUUACUUACCUAUCAAACAACCAUGGCAAUAUAUUUUGAUCACAAAACCCUUCACUUCAAAUGUACGAAAUCAUUUUGCAAUUCCUGUUAAAUGUCCAGGAUGUGAUUAUCUCCCUUGGAAUCGUAUGAUGCUUCCUAUUUACAACUGUAGGUAAAUGGCAAGAUCUUAAUGAAUGUGAGCUUUUAUUAUUUUUAAAGUUCAUGAUUGCUUAAAAUUUGGUUGAAAGGUUAUGGUUGAUCUCUGUUUGUAUGUGUUAUUUUUAAACCGCUCUCGGCAGGAGCCGGGCGGCUUAUUGAUAUUUUUCUGAUUUUUUUUGUCAUAACUUUUCAAUGAAUACUUUGUUGAACACUUUUCUCUGUACAAUAUGAAGUGUUACUUGACUGUUAUGCUGGUUCAUCAUAGUUUGUAGAUAAGUGAGAUAAUCCUAUUCAUAUUUUUACAAUGCAUUACAAGGGUUGAAUGUUUUGAUGGGACUUUAGAAGAACCUUGUGAAGUCUUUUUACAGGUUUGACCUGCCAAAAUUGUACAUAACCUAUGAUUUAGCUUGUUAUAUGCAAAGCAUUAUUUAUGUGAAUAUGUUGAGAUUUUUACCUGCUCUGCUAGAAACAUAUGUACAGUGUAUAGAAAUAAUCAUAAAAAGGUCAUAAAUGAGUUUUGCAUAAGAUAUACCAGUGUUAAUGAUACAGACCUUUGUUCUAAUUACAUAUCGAGAUGAUUUCACUCUAUUUUCUAUGUAUAGAUGUUUGUAAAUCUUACUAGGUUGUAAACCUUUUUUUAUUAAUUUUUGCCCUGAGAGCUUACUGAUGUGCUGAUUAUUUUAAUUGUGAUAGCUUUAACAUCAUUGAAUCUCAUGCAUCAUUGCAUGUAAGGUAACAUGUACCAGCAACCUGAACUAUCUUAUUACCAUUGUCACUGUUGUGAAAAAUUGUUUCAAGUCCAAUUUGAAAAAGAGUAUUCCGUAAAAAUCACAGGUUGCAAAACAUUUCACAGAAUUAUGGUUGUACAUAAUUUGAAUGUUUGAGAGCGGAAAUAAAAAGGAAACAAAUAGAAACUGUAAGGGUUAACUCUAAACCUUUAAAAUGAAAAACCCUGGGCAUAACCAAUGCUGUCGCCCAGGAAUUAUAAAUGUAGGUCAUCAAAAAGAGUAAAGCCAAAACAAUUUCUUUUGGCUGCUUCAUCUUCCAUAUAAAAGGGAGAAUACUCCACGUAAAAAAUAAUUUAGUUGAACUCUUGGCAAUAAUACCUGUUGCAGUGGUACUCUUUACCUUAAAUGGACUUGUUCUGUAACUUAUACAAUCUAGGACUGAGUAAGUGACUCAUCUUUUGAAUGAGAGUGUGGAUAGGUGCUAAUAUUGUUGUAUAUUUAUUAUUUUUAUUUUGCACUGUUGUGGGUCCAUUUACUAUGCGAUCAUUUGAUCUCAAAUCUAACUCCCCAACACAGGAUAAAAUUUGAAAAUAAGUUUGUAUCAACUUAAGCUAAUAAGUUAAACUUAAUGGUCUCACUAGCAUCCUAGUCAAUAUUGUCAUCUUGUGUAUCUAAAAUAAAAAUAAAACAAACCUGGAAAUCUAAAAUACAUUCAUCCAUGUAAUACUUUUUUGGUGUAGGGAAUAAUUGUAUAUCAGUUAAAAAUAGUCUAUAUACACAAUCUAUAUACACAACAAAGCAAAGAUUCUGCUUGUUCAAUUAAACUAGUGAUAUGAUUAAAGUUUAAUAACAAAGUUUAUUUUGUUCCAAUCAUCUUACCAUCAUUAAACGCAUAAUUGAUCUUAAAUUUGGAAUAUCAAGCAUUAAUAACAGCAAUGAAAGCAUCGCGCUUGCUAUAUAUAUUGCACAUGAUUCAUUUUAAAGGUCACAAAUAAUCACUUCUUUUGCCUGAUAUUUUUAAUUAUUUGCUCAAAAUUCCAUUAUAUUUUGUUAUGCUCCCUUUAUAUCACCUUUAUACAUAUGAACACCUUUUAUAAUCACUUUAGCACGAGGGAUGGGCUCUGUUUUUCUUCAAGUUUAUAAUCCUUUCACAAAUAUGCUUAUUCCACCAUAAACCAUAUGAAGAUAAUUAAAAUCUUUUAUCAGGAUGAUGAAAUGCUACAUCAUAAUAAAAAAUAAAUGUUUCAAUAACAAGUAUUUAUAGCUUUAAUAUCUAGCAUGUGAUUUUUCAUUAUACUUGAAUAAUUUUCCCCCAUGACACAUUUUUUUUGUUAUAGUUUCCUUAUCACGAAACACAUUCCAGUAGUUUCAGACUCUGUGUCCUAAUAUGGUCAUACCUUAUCACCAGUAAUUACUUGUGAUGACUCCGUGUCCUAAUACAGUCAUACCUUAUCACCAGUAACUACUUGUGAUAACUCUGUGUCCCAAUACGGUCAUACCUUAUCACCAGUCACUACUUGUGAUGACUUUGUGUCCUAAUACGGUCAUACCUUAUCACCAGUAACUACUUGUGAUGACUCCGUGUCCUAAUAGUCAUACCUUAUCACCAGUCACUACUUGUGAUAACUCUGUGUCCUAAUACGGUCAUACCUUAUCACCAGUAACUACUUGUAUUUUCAUCACUAACUGAAUCUCAGGACAUGAUUUUGUUGUCAUGCUUUUGAUGACAUUCUGUUUAAAAAAAAAAUGGAAAUUUAAAUAUCUGUGUUAUGCUUUUGGUGGUGUAAUAGAAGUGUCUGUUGUUUUUCCUUUAUGCUGAUAUUUGCCGAUCAAUGUUGAUGUUCUGUUCCUGUGAAGCUUGUUUGUUACUAAACCAUAAUGUUUUCUUUUAUAGAAAUGGAAUAAUCUCCAUGCUCUAACAUUGUUAAUAUGAAGAAAGCAGAAAACGUGUCACCAGAGGUACAGUUUGAUAUUAUAUUGACUGGAAGUUAAUCCUGCUUAGAAAGGUCAGGCAAGCAUGAGUGGUGUAAUGGGAUUGAGAUGGAAGCAGGAAUGUGAUUUACGAGAGUGUUCGUUGUGUUACACUGUGCCUGUCUUAGUCCAUGCUAAUUACUGGUAGAGAGAGAAAUAUGUUGUCUAUUUCAGUUGACACACCAGGGUUUUACCUGUACCACCUAAGGGUUGGUUGUUACCUGUGUUACUAGCUGGUGAUGCUGAUUAGAGUUAUAAUUUAUGAAAACUUUGUAGUAACAAUGACAGUAGAUUGUUAGUAUGUGAGUCAACUGAUACAAGUCUAGCUCAUGGAGUGCUAAUGUAUGGUGUAAUGGCAAUCUAUACCAUUACCAAGGCUACACUGAAACCUAUUAUCAGCUAUCUUCCUCUUGUCUGACAAAGUUGUGGGAUAUUUUGCAAAUAAAUUGGAAAACAUUAUUUCAAGUUAUAGAACCAGGUGUUGUGUAAACAAAUAGCAUUGGUGAAGAACUUUUGAAGUUUGUUGCCGAUAUAAAGAUGAGCUGAGAUAGUUUAUUUUUUGUAUGGGAUGUUGCAUAAUGAAAAAGAAAAUUGGUCUUUCAUUGCCAUUAUUAGCCAUUGCUGUGUCUUCCAUCUUGCAUAUUAAGUAAAAGGAAUGAUGCAUAGCGUAGUUUGUAGUGAACUGUUCCUACAGGUUAGACAGUCACCUUCACACUUAUCUGUAAUCUUGUAACAAGAGUAACUUCCCUUUGAACUGUUUCCAUACAAAUGUUGUCGUUGCUGUCAAUGUUUUUUGGUCCCUAUUUGUCUUUCCAUGUUGAAAAUUAUGUAUUGAUUUUGAGAAAUAAUUAGCUAAUCAGAAAUUUUUAUUCAUCAUUCAAUUAGGUAUUGAUGAUAAUUACAGGUGUUGACCUUUGAGCUAUAUUCAGUGAACGUUGUUAUUGGCCUUGAUUAAAAUCAUUAUUAAUUGUUGAAGUUUUACAAAAUUUAAUUGAAAUGCUGUUAGUGUAUUUAUUUGGGCGCUAUUGAUAUUUUUACAGCUUCCUUUGACAAUUGUACAGAGAUACUUUUUCGUAAUACCAUUCAAUAGGAAAGUGUUGAAGGCCCUUAAAUAUCAAUGCCUUGAUAUAAAUACGCCUACCGUACCUGUUUUAUACAGGAAAAGUAGUUAACCUAUGUUAGUAUACUUGUAACUUGUUAUAGAACUGAACCAUUGUUAUAACAUAGUCAAUUGUUAUACUCUCACAUUAAAUAGUCACUGGAGUCCAAAGGAGUUCAGAAAGAAUAAUAUUCCAAAAUAUGUAGACACUCACUAUUCAUGAAUAUACUGUAUUUUUGUGUACUCAUACUCGGAUUUUUACAGGGUAGUUUCCGGUGGUAUAUCCGAGGCCAGCAUACAUAACACACACACAGGAUAAUUGAAAAUCAGCUGAGCAGGUUUUAUUUUGAACGUCAGUUUUGUAAUAUUGCUUACAAUAGCUUAAGGUAGCCAGAAUAUAGACAUCCGUGAUCUUAGUAAAAACCAUUCUACAUAUCAUUUGAUGGUUUUAUAACUACAUUCUAGUUACAGCUAAUUAAUAUAUAAUUGAUAUUUCAAUAGUAAACAUUGGAUUUAGAGCUUGUUCAAUUGCAAUAUUUGUCAUAACAAAUUUGGUUUGAAUGGAUUGUUUUACAAGAUUUUUCUGAAAGGUAUGUUUGCUACAAGAUGAGAAGAAUGUUUGCCACACAUUACAUUAAAAACAAUGCACUCAGAUUAAUGUAAUUUUGUUGUGAGCAAGCCAUGUUAGCAUAACCUUUGACCUGUGUUGUGACUUAAAGUUGACCUUUAAACUUUGUGAUAUGUACAUAUUGGAGGACUUGUAUGAUCAAGUGCCUGUUUUAAUGACCUAGUGUUAAAGAAGGCUAUGUAACAACCACUAUUGUAACCCCACUCACUAGUGUAACCGGGUACAGAAGGCUAUGUUACAACCACUAGUGUAAUCCCACUCACUAGUGUAACCGGGUACAGAAGGCUAUGUAACAACCACUAUUGUAACCCCGCUCACUAGUGUAACCGGGUACAGAAGGCUAUGUAACAACCACUAUUGUAACCCCGCUCACUAGUGUAACCGGGUACAGAAGGCUAUGUAACAACCACUAUUGUAACCCCACUCACUAGUGUAACCGGGUAUACACUAAUUGGUAGUUCUGCAAAUUACAAUGGUCAGAAUCAACAAUGCUAACCAGGUUACACCAGAUGUCCAGGUUACAGCAGUGGUUGUAACAAGGCUAGUUACGAGUGUCAGCAAAUCUCUAAAGAGACCUGAAAGUACCUGUUGUGAUAACAUUUUUAACUUGUAUAUAAAACUUAUGAUUAUACAUUCACCCAAACUGAGAACAGGGAUCACAUAACCUAGUGUAAUUCAAUAACCAUUAAACUUGAUACUUUGAUUUUUAUGUAAAACCUAAUUGUUGAGAACUGAACUACUGUGUUACACCGUGUAAUGGUUGCCUAAAGCACUAUUUCCUGCUAUGAUAAUUUCCUGGUAAUGGGUGUUGAUGAAAGACACACACUAUAACUAGCACCAUGCUUUUCAGCGAUAUUUACCCUAUUACAAAUUUUCAAAUGUAUUGUACGGGUGCUUGAGGUAUUCAUUUCUAUAAACAUUAGUGAAAUAAAUGCAACAAUCUUGUUUUAAA